UUUCUGUACUCAACGAUGGAGAGGUUCACCAAAGAUUUGAGAAAGUUAUUUCUGAUAUCAACAAACCAGGUGCUAAUUAUAGCCUCAGUCUAGUCAACCAGCUCUUUGGAGAAACAUCAUAUGAUUUUCUUGCAUCAUUUAUAGAAUCCACUCAGAGAUUCUACCAUGCAGGUCUGGAGAAACUUAACUUCACACAAGCUUCAGAAGAUUCAAGAAGACAUAUAAAUGCCUGGGUAGAAGAAAAAACCUCAGGUGCUUUCUGUACUCAACGAUGGAGAGGUUCACCAAAGAUUUGAGAAAGUUAUUUCUGAUAUCAACAAACCAGGUGCUAAUUAUAGCC